GUACAGCAGAAGCUGGAAACCGCUCGAGGCAAGUUCUCCGAGAUCAGGAAAUCUCUGUCUGAGAAGUGGAAUAAGCUCAAGACCCUGAGCUCCCCUGAGAACUUUGCCAACCUGGGCAAAAAGACGCUGACCAAGAUGAAUCGGGUGAUUGUGAAUGUGGUGAACAAGUUGAAGAACAUCGGCCAGAAUGUGUUCAUGAAGCGUGGAAAGACCCCGGUUGACAAGACCAUCAGCACCAUGGCGGAGCGCCUCUCGGUCCUUGACACACAGUUGGAUAAGACUUGGAAUGACUUGGAGGCUGAGGUGGAAGGUGAAGCUGAUGAGGGUGUGAGUGUAGAUGAAGAGCCGGAAGCGCCGCAGGAGGACCUGGUUGUGGUGGAAGACGAGGAAACAGCAGAGAUUGAGACUGAGGCAGAGGAUGAGGGAGUGGACGUGGAGACAGCAGACGAGGAGGAAGAAGAGCAAGCUGAAGUGGCUGUGGAAGAGCAGCAGGAGGAUGUUCUCCCAUCUCCCUUGCCGCAGGAGGGAGGCGAAAAAGAUGGUGGCGAUGGAGGUGAUAAGAAGAAGCAGCCCGAGGAGAAGAGGAACAGAGAGAAGAAAAACAAAGCCAAAGAGAAGGAAGAAAAGAAAAGUCAAGAGAGGAAGCGUCACCGAUCAAGGCGAACCAGACUCAGUGAGAAGGAAGAGAAGAAGGAAAAGCGCGAAGCUGAGAAGAAGGAGAGCGAAGCGCAGAAGGAGCAGCAGCGACAACAGAGAGACGGCGAGCGGGCGAAGGCCAAGGGCCGGAGAGACGGCGACCGGGACCACAACGACGGGCACUACCACAGGGAUGGAAGGGAUAGGUCCUUGCAAGACCACCAUGACGACCACAGAUACUACAAGGGCCAGUAUAAUAAGUACGACAAGAAGUAUAGGGAUGAUGAUGACGAUGAUGAUGAUGACGACGACGACGACGACGACGAUGAUGAUGACGACGACGAUGAUUACAGACACAAAAGGAGGCAUUACAGGAAGAAAAGAUAUGACGACGACGAUGAUGAUGAUGAUGAUGAUGACGACGACGACGAUGAUGACAGAUACAAGAGGAGACGAGGCAAGCACGAUGAUGAUGACGAUGAUGAUGACAGGAAGAGGAAAGGGCUGAUGAGACACUGGCAGAAGCCGGCCAAGAAGAACUACCGCAGGGAAGUCACAGGGCCAAAGAAAGAAUUUAUUCGACGACGGGGUAAGAACCACACUAAGCAGCACAACCUGGAGUGGUUGGAUAAAAGGGCGCAGGGGCGUGCGAGCCGGCGGAGAGAGGGUCAGAAGGCCGACUGGUUGUUUGAGCGCGCGCGGGACCGAAACACAUUGCGCGAAAAAGAGCUCAAGUCUGAAUGGCAGUUUGAUAGAGCCCGCGGCCGGAGGGAGGUCCGAGGCGAGGCCCGCGCGGAGGAGGCGGCCCGGGCCAGAGGGCGCGGCAAUGGGGGGCGGGAGCGCUAUGAGAAGCACUUCAACUAUAGGCGGUACGUUAGGUUCGAUGACGAUGACGACGACGACGACGAUGAGGAGAGAUACCAGUACCACUUCCAUGAGGCGAGACGGGGGAGGGAGCGGGGCGGGCAGCGCGAGCACUACCGCCGGGGCAAGGGGCAGCGGGAGUGGAUAAUUCCUAACUUCCACGCCGCCGGGAAGCACUACUGAGCAUGCUCGUCACCCUCAUAGAGUCGUAGUGUCCCCUUCGUGUGGAUUAGUCCGGAAAUUAUAGUAAUAAGGAUAUUGGUAAAUGAAAAAGGAAAAUGUUAGAGGUAGUGGGAGUUCUUUCUUCUAAUGGGUUCCUCUGAGGCUAGGCCUUUGUAGCAUUAGUCGAGCCCGACUCUUGCCCCUUCACUCAUAUCCGUCUUUUUCACCUUCCGUUUUCUCUUUUUUUUCCUUUGGAAACCUUGUUGCUUCGUAGUAUUCAAGGGAAAUAGUUAUGUCAGUAUUGUUUUAAGAUUUUUUUCGUCUGGUUACACGGAUUGAUUUACUGAUUUUGAUUAAUGAGGUUAAGUUCAGCCUUUGACGGACUCCCUACGUCCGCACUUCCUUUUAAAGUCUUUGUCUGUAGUGCAGCCAUUGUAGAUAUAUACUCAAUCCUUGUAAAGUUUUUCUAUCAUUUAUUGUUUUCUCAAGUUUGGAGUCGUAAAAUGAAGCCUACGUCUUUUGAAUGAAGAAUAAAACUGUUUUGUACUUUAGUUUUUGCCAUCUAAAACCGUUAAGGCAGAUGCUAUUUCUAUUUUUGAAAAGUUCAUUUCGAGGUAGGUUUUUCAUUGACUCAGAUUUUAAGGCUCCUGAAAUUCCGUGGGUGGAAGCUGCAUUUUGGUAGAUUUUAUGCAAAUACCAGUGACCUGACAAUUUUUCCUUCAGCUCUUCACAUUUUUUUUCUCCUAAAGUCUUAAUCACGAUAUCCUGAUCACCUUUUUGUGUCCUGUUUACAAUGUUCCUUUUUUUUCUUUCUCUUCUCUAAACUUCCUUAUUUCCAUUCCAGAUGACUAAGCCUCGAUGCUCUUUCAUUGUUAGUUGUACACUAUUGGAAGGAACAAAAUUCCCGAGAAGAAAGCAUGAGACUAGACAGGAAGUUAGCUCAGAAUAGUGCUAAAUGCCUUCACUGCGCAUCAACUGGUAAACCUGCCUGUAUAUUUCAGCCACUGCACAAAGUAGCACUGCAGCAGAUGUCCUCGCAUAUAUAGUUUCUUUGUAUCUUUUCCGAUCUAGCUUUUUAAAAUCGUCACUUGGAUUGUCGAAAUAAAUAUUAUUUUUUGUUUAAUAACUGACCGAGCUCCGGAGCGGCUCGCGAGUGUAAUCUAACCCGCAUGGUUUUCUUUCCUUCCUUGUUUCCUCUCGCGUCAUGCGACUCAGAAACGUCUGUCCUUCCUUCUCCUCGAGAGGCUCUCUCGUCAGCCUUGCAGCUCACCGGGUUUGAUCUUUAUAGAAGUGUUGUGUCCUAAACCUUGAUGGUUCCUUCAAGGUACAGUGAACGCCAUGUUAAAUUACAGGAUAAAAUUAUGCUUUAAUGUCAUAUGUGAUAGCCAUUUGUAUAUAUUAAGAAGAAAAAAAAACGAGGUUUGUAAAAGACUUCAUUUAAAAGCGGUUGAUGGUGUCCUUUUUGAGUUAUGUAAGAAAAAUAUAGAUAUAUAUAUUUAAAGAUUUUUUUUUAAGCUUGGACUUCCCAGUCACCAAAAUAUAGUCUAUCAUUAGUCUAUCAUUGGAAAUUUAUGUCUUUGAUUCAUUGUAUGUAAUUCAUAUGAUAAAUACAAUUGAUGAUGUUAUAAUUGUUUGACUACCAGAUGCCUUACUUUUUAUCUUUUAAUAUCACUUUAAAUAUCACUUGUUUCCCAUUUAUCUCGUGUGCUAGUCUUGUCAUCCGUGAAACUUAUAUUAUUGGAUAUGUCAAUAAACCCUACCAAUACA
rnacentral:misc_RNA from 1 species